AUUGAACGCUGGCGGCAGGCUUAACACAUGCAAGUCGAGCGAGCGGCGGACGGGUGAGUAAUGUCUGGGAAACUGCCUGAUGGAGGGGGAUAACUACUGGAAACGGUAGCUAAUACCGCAUACCAUCAGAUGUGCCCAGAUGGGAUUAGCUAGUAGGUGGGGUAAUGGCUCACCUAGGCGACGAUCCCUAGCUGGUCUGAGAGGAUGACCAGCCACACUGGAACUGAGACACGGUCCAGACUCCUACGGGAGGCAGCAGUAGGGAAUCUUCGGCAAUGGGGGGAACCCUGACCGAGCAACGCCGCGUGAGUGAAGAAGGCCUUCGGGUUGUAAAGUACUUUCAGCGAGGAGGCGUUACUCGCAGAAGAAGCACCGGCUAACUCCGUGCCAGCAGCCGCGGUAAUAC
rnacentral:rRNA from 1 species